rnacentral:rRNA from 1 species
CAGCCGUAAACUAUGCGCGUUAGGUGUACUGGUGACCACGAGUCACCGGGGUGCCGAAGGGAAACCGUGAAACGUGCCGCCUGGGAAGUACGGUCGCAAGGCUGAAACUUAAAGGAAUUGGCGGGGGAGCGCCACAACGGGUGGAGCCUGCGGUUUAAUUGGACUCAACGCCGGAAAUCUCACCGGAUAGGACAGACAUAUGAUAGUCGGGCUGAAGACUCUACUUGAUGAUCUGAGAGGUGGUGCAUGGCGUCAGUGACU